GUCUAUAAUCACACCACCCUGAAUGUGUCUGAUCUCUGAAGCUAAGCAGGGUCAGGCCUGAAUAGUACUUGGAAGGGAGAAAUGUUUCCUUAAGGCCAGAAGGAAUAAAGGAAACAGGGGGCC
rnacentral:rRNA from 1 species